rnacentral:rRNA from 1 species
GAUGAACGCUGGCGGCGUGCCUAAUACAUGCAAGUCGAGCGAAUGGAUUAAGAGCUUGCUCUUAUGAAGUUAGCGGCGGACGGGUGAGUAACACGUGGGUAACCUGCCCAUAAGACUGGGAUAACUCCGGGAAACCGGGGCUAAUACCGGAUAACAUUUUGAACCGCAUGGUUCGAAAUUGAAAGGCGGCUUCGGCUGUCAACUACGGAUGGACCCGGGUCGCAUUAGCUAGUGGGUGAGGUAACGGCUCACCAAGGCAACGAUGCGUAGCCAACCUGAGAGGGUGAUCGGCCACACUGGGACUGAGACACGGCCCAGACUCCUACGGGAGGCAGCAGUAGGGAAUCUUCCGCAAUGGACGAAAGUCUGACGGAGCAACGCCGCGUGAGUGAUGAAGGCUUUCGGGUCGUAAAACUCUGUUGUUAGGGAAGAACAAGUGCUAGUUGAAUAAGCUGGCACCUUGACGGUACCUAACCAGAAAGCCACGGCUAACUACGUGCCAGCCGCCGCUGUAA